GGCCUGCGCGCGCCCGACGCCCCGGGGAGCGCGCAUCGUGCACGCGCACAGCCACGUGACCCCGUGCCGGCCAACGGGUGCGCCGGGAUUUGGGGGAUAAAGCGCGGCCCCGCGCACAGUUGCGGCGGGAGAGCGGCGGGGCCGAGAGCGUGACUCGCCCGCUCCGCGCUGCUUCCCCCGCGCCGCCUGCCCGCGCCGCUCGCGCAGCCAUGUCCGAGGAGAAGCCCAAGGAGGGUGUGAAGACAGAGAAUGAUCACAUCAACCUGAAGGUGGCCGGGCAGGACGGCUCCGUGGUGCAGUUCAAGAUCAAGAGGCACACGCCGCUGAGCAAGCUGAUGAAGGCCUACUGCGAGAGGCAGGACGCAGAAAGGCUGCGUGCUCUCCUUCCUGCUGCCCUCCUCAAGGCCAAAGUCAUGGUGGUAACUGCUCCCCGGCCUCAUGCAGCCUUCUUAUCUGUCCCUCAUUGGCACACAACCUGUUCCUUGCUGAGAACUUCGUAAAGGGGGGAAGUAGUGGUGCCAGCAUUGUAGAAGUUCUACUCGGCUUCUGGAAAGAUGGGAGGGAUGACCCAGGACAGGUCAGGGCACCAGGACAGAGAAGAUUCAGUGUUUGAAUUGACCAUUCCACACGGCCACUGCACUGAGAAACUUUGAUUGAAAAGCUAGCCGCUGGAAGGGCUUGUCAAUGAGGCAGAUCAGAUUCAGGUUCGACGGGCAGCCAAUCAAUGAAACUGACACUCCAGCACAGCUGGAGAUGGAGGACGAGGACACCAUCGACGUGUUCCAGCAGCAGACGGGAGGUGUGCCGGAGAGCAGCCUGGCAGGGCACAGUUUCUAGAGGGCCCGUCCCCAGCCCGGGCCGUCCAUCCUUGCAUUGCUGUUGAAUGGUGAGCACGUGACCAUGCCGACCACAAAGGCGUCUGCGGAAACUCGAGGACAUUCACCACGAUGAUUUUCCUCUCUUUGAUGUACUUCAAGUGCAACUCAAAACUAUAUCUGCAGGGAUGAAUCUGUAACUUAAAUUGGGCCAAUCAGAAUUGUUAUCUUUGUUCAGGUAAAAUGAGUUGCAAGAUAUUUUGGGUACUUUUGUGUGCUCAUUUGUGUUUUUCCCCCCCUCCUACAACAUUUUUUUAACCCCAAAAUUAUAGCCUGAAUGUUCGCUUUUAGUCUGGCCAGGGAUCUGACUCCUGAGUUGGUUGCCUCUCCCCUGCUCACUCCAGUCACAUAGAGAAUUGGUGUUUCCCGCAGUGGGGAUGUAGCUGUUGGACAGGUAUUGGGGGCAAGGUUGGUAGGGAGGACAGAGUCACUUGCUGUUACAGGCACAGAUGAUUAAAAUGCUAAAUAUUGCAAAUUUAAGCUUUGUCAGUAUAUGGAAAAGUUGAAGGGAAAAUACUGGAAUGCUUCUUCAGAGGUUAAAAAAUAACCGAGUCUUUUGGUAAUUUGACCCCACAUGCUCUCUGGCCCUCAAGCAUGUAACCUCGGGGUCUGAGGCCCAGGACCCACCCCCCUGCCACCCCUCCCACCCCACUCCCUGCUCAGUACCUGGCAUUGGUACACAGGCAAGGAUUGGCACAACCAAAAUUGGCCUUUUUCUCCCUCUUAAUAUUGAAGAAAUUCCCACAUUUCUCAUUUGGUAAUGGUGUUGUGGCCUCAGAUUUCUUCUAGUAUUUGCUUCUGGUGAAUGAUUAUGGUCUAUACAUAAAAAAGUAAGACUAAGUAUUGCUGAAUUUGCAGUUACGUUGUCGUGUAUAAGAGCUACUUCCAAGUGUGGUUACAAAUGAACCCAUGGAAUGAUGACUUCAUGUUCUUCUCGUGGGUUUGUGCCGUGCUGCUUUCCAAAUAGGUAUUGAAUUUAUGCAUUAGUCUGGUGAUUUCAGUUCUGUGAAAUAUUUUGGGAUCUAUACCAAUUAAACAUUUUCAUAGUUCUGCCUAUUGUCCUUCCCUGAGGCUCCAUUGCUGCUUGGUGGCCAUUCUCCGCCUUUUUAUAGUCACCUGAACGAUGACCCAUCGUCUCUUGCUUGCUUGAAAUCUUGCUGAAAUGUUCUCAUUUCCUGUUUGCUGUAUGGGCUCGGGUGGGAUGUUUGUUGGCUCUGUUGUGUUUAUUCACCAAUUUGUACAUUAUUUGUUGUCCUUUACUACUGUAAACAGUAAAUAUAGUUUGGUA